rnacentral:rRNA from 1 species
GACUCUCGGCAACGGAUAUCUCGGCUCUCGCAUCGAUGAAGAACGUAGCGAAAUGCGAUACUUGGUGUGAAUUGCAGAAUCCCGUGAACCAUCGAGUCUUUGAACGCAAGUUGCGCCCCAAGCCACUCGAAUUUAACCUAUAUUGUAGUAAACAUAUAACUGUUUUA